rnacentral:pre_miRNA from 1 species
UCCUGUUUAUUCUGCUGCUGCUGUUGCUGCUGCUGCUGCUGCUGCUGCUGAUGUUUAGCAGCAGCAGCAGCAGCAGCAACAGCAGCAGCAGCAGCA